GGAUGGGAGGUGUCUCAGCAGUGCCAGCACAGGGACAGGCACUGUCCUGGUGCUCCUGAUCAAACAUUCAGUCAGGAGCCUCAACAAUUCCUGUUUUUUGGGGUAUUUUCCUAUCCCUGAGGUAAAUUUCUGGGAGAAUGAGGGAUUGUGAUGCAGGGCUGGAGCAAGGAUGGAUUUUCUUGCCGUUGUUCCCGGGGGGCUGUCCCAGGCUGCUUUCCAUGUUCCCCUGUGAGCUCUGCCUGCUGUCUCCUGUCUGUGUCCGUAACUCCCGUCGCUGUCCCGCUUGGAGAAGUUUCCUGGGCUGGGUCUGGCUCUGUGUUGCCUGGCUGUGGGUGCACCCACAGAGUCCCUGUCCCAUCGUAUCCCUGAUGUCUGUCCUGCUCUUGCCCAGACUGUGCCCUGUCCAAGCCUGAUCUGCUACUCUGGCUGGAAAGAGAAGAGCUGAGCACGCUGACGGAGUCGGAGCCAGAGGCAGUGGAUGUGUCCCCAGAACCGGCUGUAGAGCUGGCCCGCCCGAGCUGCUCCAGAGGUGAUGGGGUGCUGGAGGCAAAGGCAGCACAGCCUGGUGAUGGGAGCUGCAGGCAGCCAGAGGAGAGCGGGAACCUGGCAGAGGAAAGUGGAAAACUGGCAGAGGAAGGUGGGAACCCAUCAGAGCAAAGUGGGAAGUCAGCAGAGGAAAGUGGGAAGUCAGCAGAGGAAGGUGGGAAGUCAGCAGAGGAAGGUGGGAAGUCAGCAGAGGAAGGUGGGAAGCCAGCAGAGGAAAGUGGGAGCCCAGCAGUCCCGGAGGACUGCAGCACACCCCCCAUCCCUCUGGAAGCUGCUGUCCCAGGGGAUCUCAGCC